CCUCCGCCACAUCCUCCGCCAGAGCAAGGUGGGGAGUCGGCGAGUGAAGUUGUGCGAAGAGGCUUGUCUGGCCCACUACCCCCGUCUGGCCGUGCGUGAACCACCAUAUAUACAUUGAAAUAAUUUGUGUUUCUUGAAGCCUAGAAUUGUCAAGUGUGGAGAGUAAUCUGUGUAAUACACGUUGUUGAACCCAGUGAAAUUGGUCUUGCAGGAAUCCAGUUGGACCUCUUCAUCAUCACAGCCUAAGAGAGGUGAAGGCCGCCAUCAUGGGAAAGAGUAUGGGAGAGGUAGCUGUGUCGGAAGAGAUGCUCUCCCGCACCCAGCAAUAUGAUGAGUUGUUGGUGACCUUAAACCUAGACAGUGAUCAGCGACCCAAUGUGGUUGCUUCACGCCCAGGCAGUGGUCCAGGACGCAAUGAUGGUGCUUCACGCCCAGGCAGUGGUCCAGGACGCAAUGAUGGUGCUUCACGCCCAGGCUGUGAUCCAGGACGCAAUGAUGGUGCUUCACGCCCAGGCAGUGAUCCAGGACGCAAUGAUAGUGCUUCACGCCCAGGCAGUGAUCCAGGACGCAAUGAUGGUGCUUCACGCCCAGGCUGUGAUCCAGGACGCAAUGAUGGUGCUUCACGCCCAGGCAGUGAUCCAGGACGCAAUGAUAGUGCUUCACGCCCAGGCAGUGAUCCAGGACGCAAUGAUAGUGCUUCACGCCCAGGCAGUGAUCCAGGACGCAAUGAUGGUGCUUCACGCCCAGGCAGUGAUCCAGGACGCAAUGAUAGUGCUUCACGCCCGGGCAGUGGUCCAGGACGCAAUGAAAGUGCUUCACGCCCGAGCAGUGGUCCAGGACGCAAUGAUAGUGCUUCACGCCCAGGCUGUGAUCCAGGACGCAAUGAUAGUGCUUCACGCAGUACUUCUUCCAGACAGUGUGAAAGGAGAAGCGAAGAGGGCGGGACCGUAGAGGAGUCAUGGCUGCUUCACCAGGCUGCUCUUCUGCGCCAGGACCGCAUCUUACUGGGCUAUGGCCACAGCUCAGGAUGGAAGCAAGUUGAUGAAGAACUUUGUCGGGAUGCGGACGGUGCCUUCAGCAGCUGUACUGGACGAGGAGAUGACAGCUGCCCGACACGCCCAGGCACACCACACCUCUACCUACCUACGUACUCAGCAGCAGCAGCAGCAGCAGCAGCAGCAGGAAGAGGAGGAGGAGGAUGAGUCUCUACCUGAUAUACUCAACUAUGAUGACUUUGACCCGGUGCUUGUGAGGGAUCCUGCAACUGGCCUGUGGUUCUGACGCUGAUAAGGAAUGACAAAAAAUAGUGGAACAAUUUUCAAAGAGGGUGUUGUGUGUGUGUGUUGCCUGCGUGAGAGCGUCUGAGGGAGCACCACCACAAGGCAAGAGAAGGGAAAUGUUCCACAACACUGUGAUGGUACAACUUUAUAAUGUUGGUAACUAGUCAUAUAAAUGUAUCUAACUAAGGAAAUUAUUUAGCCAACUUUGGCAUAUAAUUUUUACCUCAUAAACAAUGCAUACAAAA